rnacentral:ncRNA from 2 species
UUGACACGGCACGGCGGAAGAUUACUCUUGCUGACAUCAGGAAUAAGGGGAAACCGGUGAAAAUCCGGUGCGGUCGCGCCACUGUAACGCCUUUGCUGUCGCAAUGCGGAGUCAGACCUCCUUUUUCAAAACAGUUUUU